GACGAACGCUGGCGGCGUGCUUAACACAUGCAAGUCGAACGGAAAGGCCUCUUUCGGGGGGUACUCGAGUGGCGAACGGGUGAGUAACACGUGAGUAACCUGCCCUUGACUUUGGGAUAACUUCAGGAAACUGGGGCUAAUACCGGAUAGGAGCUCCUGCUGCAUGGUGGGGGUUGGAAAGUUUCGGCGGUUGGGGAUGGACUCGCGGCUUAUCAGCUUGUUGGUGGGGUAGUGGCUUACCAAGGCUUUGACGGGUAGCCGGCCUGAGAGGGUGACCGGCCACAUUGGGACUGAGAUACGGCCCAGACUCCUACGGGAGGCAGCAGUGGGGGAAUAUUGCACAAUGGGUGGAAGCCUGAUGCAGCAACGCCGUGUGCGGGAUGACGGCCUUCGGGUUGUAAACCGCUUUCGCUCAUGACGAAGCUUUGUGUGACGGUAGUGGGUAAAGAAGCACCGGCUAACUACGUGCCAGCAGCCGCGGUAAU
rnacentral:rRNA from 1 species